rnacentral:rRNA from 1 species
UACGGAGGGUGCAAGCGUUAAUCGGAUUUAUUGGGCGUAAAGGGCGCGUAGGCGGGGAGGCAAGUUAGAUGUGAAAUCCCGGGGCUCAACUCCGGACCCGCAUCUAAUACUGCUUUUCUAGAGGAUGGAUGGAGAAAAGGGAAUUCCACGUGUAGCGGUGAAAUGCGUAGAUAUGUGGAAGAACACCAGUGGCGAAGGCGCUUUUCUAAUUCAUUCCUGACGCUGAAGCGUGAAAGCAAGGGGAGCAAACAGG